UAAGUGCAGCAGACUCUUCCCAGAGUUUGCUUAUAAUCCUUCCAUCUGCGCGUUAGUCCUAGCAGCAGCAAUGACAGCUCCAUCUACAGCAUGAAAACAACGAAGGUAAACAGCCCAGGAGCUGCUGUAACCGAGAAUGCAGGUGUUGUGAUGAGCUCCCAUCCCAGACGCCCACUGUGGCCCAGCCUCCUUGUUCCUGGUGCCCAGCUCCCGUACACAUAGCCCUCUCACACUCCAGCCGUCUUCUUAUGAUUUGUCUUCAGCAUCAUGUGGCUUCUAUGUGUUUAAGCUUGAGGCGCCGGAGAGCUUUCAAGGAAAGUCUUGUAUAUUCCAACCUUUCCGGGUUAUUGCCAUUAUUUAUGACUCUACUAAAAUGUUAAAACUGGCUUCAGAAAUGUCAAACAGAAUAAUGGGAAUGGAGAAAUCAGAGACAGAAGUCAGCUAUAACCAGUCCUAUCGCUCCUGCUUCUACACGGCAAGUGUGACUUAUUUUCUUAUUCAGAGUGCUUUUGUGGCAAAGUAAACCUUCCAUUCGUUAAAAUGCAAAGAUAUGCACUCACACAUGUGCACCAAAAUGUCCACAGAGGUAAAAAGAGAGUUUGCCAAGAUGUCAGUUUACUGAAUUAAGUCUAUGUUUAGUACUGUGUCAAUUUUAUAUUAAAGGGCUUGCAUGCUCUUUUUGGAGACAAUAUUCAGUACAGUCCUAGGUAAGCUCAUUUUGAUAGGCUGUAUUUCAAUAAGAAGGGAAAGAUGGAAAUGGAAAAGAAAACAAAACUGAAAAUUAUUCAAAAUGGAAAGAAUGGAAUAAUUUUUACAAAGCAGUAAAUACUGGUAGGUAAGGAUGACAAGUCAAACAUAAUUGCCAAAUUUCUGUGAUCAUUGUAAGUUAAAAAAGUAGCUACAAAGAAGUAGGGAAAUGGGGACCCCCCCCCAUGUCUAGUUGUGAACCUUUUUCUAACUAAUCAUAUAACAAUAGGCCUUUGUGUUACCUCCAAUUCAUCUGUGAGAAAGAGAAUUUGAAUGGACGAUCUCUAAAGUCUUUCAUCGGAAAAGCCCCUGAUGCUGGGAAAGAUUGAAGGCAGAAGGAGAAGGGGACAGCAGAGGAUGAGAUGGCUGGAUGGCAUCACUGACUCGAUGGACAUGAGUUUGAGCAAGCUUCAGGAGCUGGUGAUGGACAGGGAGGCCUGGCGCGCUGCAGUCCAGGGGGUUGCAAAGAGUCGGACAUGACUGAGCAACUGAACUGUAUUGAAAGUCUUCUAACACUCAAUUUUUAUACUUUUAACUCAUAUACAAAUUCGGAUUGAGAAAAAUCAGAAAAGGUUCAUUUAAAAAUGCAUGAUUGUGAAAAAUUCACCUAUUAAUUUUAAUAAUUGGCAUUUUCUUUUAAAAAUAUUAUCAUGUUUAUAAGUGAUAACCUAUUUCUAAUUUAUUGGUUUAUUUUUAUAUCUAAUCUCAUUUGGAAUAUCAUCAGAAAUCCACAGGGUAGAUAGCACUAAGCUGACUUGUAAGUGUAAACACUGAGA
rnacentral:lncRNA from 1 species